GGGUCAUUAGAGGCUGCAGAGUUAGGCAGCGUUGAAUGCUAGGAGUGGGAUGACUCGUUCUUCCCACAUGCCUACAACCAAUUAUCUUUUAACCAAUUGGUCGUAGGUUCGAAUCCUACACGACCCACCA
rnacentral:tRNA from 1 species